rnacentral:misc_RNA from 1 species
CUGAGUGUUACAACUCCCAAACCCUUUGUGAACACUACCAUUCGUUGCUUCGGCGGGACCGCCCCGGAGCCUCUGUGCGCCGGACCCAGGCGCCCGCCGGGGGCCCGAAACUCUUGUUUUGUCAGUGGUAUUUUCUCUGAGUGGCAUAAGCAAAUAAAUCAA